rnacentral:rRNA from 1 species
AGCAGCCGCGGUAAUUCCAGCUCCAAUAGCGUAUAUUAAAGUUGUUGCAGUUAAAAAGCUCGUAGUUGAAUUUCGGAACCAAUAUGUCGGUCGUGCCUCGGUACGUACUGGUGUCAUUGGUUUCUCCCUUCUGAGGAUCCUUGAUGUCAUUAAUUUGGUGUCUUGGGGAAUCAGGACUGUUACCUUGAAAAAAUUAGAGUGUUUAAAGCAGGCAUACGCUUGAAUACAUUAGCAUGGAAUAAUGAAAUAGGACGUUCGAUUCUAUUUUGUUGGUUUCUAGGAUCGACGUAAUGAUUAAUAGGGAUAGUUGGGGGCAUUAGUAUUCAAUUGUCAGAGGUGAAAUUCUUGGAUUUAUUGAAGACUAACUACUGCGAAAGCAUUUGCCAAGGAUGUUUUCAUUAAUCAAGAACGAAAGUUAGGGGAUCGAAGACGAUCAGAUACCGUCGUAGU